rnacentral:rRNA from 1 species
AGACUAUACUAGAGUUUGAUCUGGCUCAGGACGAACGCUGGCGGCGUGCUUAACACAUGCAAGUCGAACGAUGAACCAGGAGCUUGCUCUUGGGGAUUAGUGGCGAACGGGUGAGUAACACGUGAGCAAUCUGCCCUUCACUCUGGGAUAACCUCCGGAAACGGAAGCUAAUACCGGAUAUGACGCACGGAGGCAUCUCCUGUGCGUGGAAAGAACUUCGGUGGAGGAUGAGCUCGCGGCCUAUCAGGUAGUCGGUGAGGUAACGGCUCACCAAGCCUACGACGGGUAGCCGGCCUGAGAGGGUGACCGGCCACACUGGGACUGAGACACGGCCCAGACUCCUACGGGAGGCAGCAGUGGGGAAUAUUGCACAAUGGGCGCAAGCCUGAUGCAGCAACGCCGCGUGAGGGACGACGGCCUUCGGGUUGUAAACCUCUUUUAGUAGGGAAGAAGCGAAAGUGACGGUACCUGCAGAAAAAGCACCGGCUAACUACGUGCCAGCCGCCGCGGUAAU